rnacentral:rRNA from 1 species
CCUUAGAGUUUGAUCCUGGCUCAGGAUGAACGCUGGCGGCGCGCCUAACACAUGCAAGUCGAACGGCACCCAUCUUCGGAUGGAAGCGAGUGGCGAACGGCUGAGUAACACGUGGAGAACCUGCCCCCUCCCCCGGGAUAGCCGCCCGAAAGGACGGGUAAUACCGGAUACCCCGGGGUGCCGCAUGGCACCCCGGCUAAAGCCCCGACGGGAGGGGAUGGCUCCGCGGCCCAUCAGGUAGACGGCGGGGUGACGGCCCACCGUGCCGACAACGGGUAGCCGGGUUGAGAGACCGACCGGCCAGAUUGGGACUGAGACACGGCCCAGACUCCUACGGGAGGCAGCAGUGGGGAAUCUUGCGCAAUGGGGGGAACCCUGACGCAGCGACGCCGCGUGCGGGACGGAGGCCUUCGGGUCGUAAACCGCUUUCAGCAGGGAAGAGUCAAGACUGUACCUGCAGAAGAAGCCCCGGCUAACUACGUGCCAGCAGCCGCGGUAAUACGUAGGGGGCGAGCGUUAUCCGGAUUCAUUGGGCGUAAAGCGCGCGUAGGCGGCCCGGCAGGCCGGGGGUCGAAGCGGGGGGCUCAACCCCCCGAAGCCCCCGGAACCUCCGCGGCUUGGGUCCGGUAGGGGAGGGUGGAACACCCGGUGUAGCGGUGGAAUGCGCAGAUAUCGGGUGGAACACCGGUGGCGAAGGCGGCCCUCUGGGCCGAGACCGACGCUGAGGCGCGAAAGCUGGGGGAGCGAACAGGAUUAGAUACCCUGGUAGUCCCAGCCGUAAACGAUGGACGCUAGGUGUGGGGGGACGAUCCCCCCGUGCCGCAGCCAACGCAUUAAGCGUCCCGCCUGGGGAGUACGGCCGCAAGGCUAAAACUCAAAGGAAUUGACGG